AGUGAACGCUGGCGGCAGGCCUAACACAUGCAAGUCGAGCGGCAGCGCGGGGGCAACCCUGGCGGCGAGCGGCGGACGGGUGAGUAAUUCGUCGGAAUCUGCCUUUUUGUGGGGGAUAACGUAGGGAAACUUACGCUAAUACCGCAUACGUCCUACGGGAGAAAGUGGGGGACCGCAAGGCCUCACGCAGUAAGAUGAGCCUACGACCGAUUAGCUAGUUGGUGGGGUAAAGGCCCACCAAGGCGACGAUCGGUAGCUGGUCUGAGAGGAUGAUCAGCCACACUGGAACUGAGACACGGUCCAGACUCCUACGGGAGGCAGCAGUGGGGAAUAUUGGACAAUGGGCGAAAGCCUGAUCCAGCCAUGCCGCGUGUGUGAAGAAGGCCUUCGGAUUGUAAAGCACUUUUAUCCGGGAAGAAAGCCAGUGAGCUAAUACCUUCGGGGUAUGACGGUACCGGAAGAAUAAGCACCGGCUAACUUCGUG
rnacentral:rRNA from 1 species